rnacentral:tRNA from 1 species
GGUAAAAUGACCGAAAUUUAGGUGAUAAAUUGUAAAUUUAUUUAUGGAUUUAAAAUCCUUUUACUA